GCGUUGUUAAAUACAGAUUUUUUUAAAAAAAACAUUCGCGUUGUUAAAUACGGAUUUUUUUUUAAAUCCUGGUGCCACCAGGUAGUUUCUAAUCAGAGUGAAGGGCAUUUGGAUGGGACCGCAAAAGAAAAAGUAAAUGUUUAGUGACUGUUUGAAUUUCUGCAAUUACUUGGUCCUUUUUAUGACUUAAGAACUUGAAAUACAUUUAGUGACAAUCUACUGCAACCAUUGUACUUUGUGUCUAGCUGAUCACAUGGUUCGAAAAACUGCUAUCUUUUAAUCUCAUUUUUUUCUUGUGCAACAUCUUUAUUACAAUGCUCAUUUGCAAAUCUUCAAUUCCCAUUCACAAUUACUGGGAGAUGCGAUGAAUGCAGAUCAAAUUCAACCAAAGUUUAAAAGCAGCCAACCUGCCUCUCUACACAAGUUGUAAAAAAAGAGGGAGAUUUCUUCCCAAAAGACAUGGUUCGAAACACAAGCUGGUACGGAAUGCUUGAUACCAAUGCCUUUUUGUCUAAGUCAGAAAAUAAAGAAUGCCGAGAAAAUAAAUGUAAAAAUCUAUACCAGUGAAUGUCAACUUUAUUUUCAAUGGUUUACCCAUACAAUCCAAUAACAGUGAAUUUUACAUCUGCUGAUCUGAGAUUAUUUAAAGUCCAGAGAUAUUGACCCAUCCCGGAAUGUACCUGAAGUUAAUCAACACUAAGAUAAUCAAUAAUAAAUUUAUAUUACCCAUUAUACCCCAUGGACAUCUGAUACUUUAUGUAAAAAUAUAUGACAACUUAAUAAUUAUGUGUUUUCAACAAACUCAGAGAUUUUGUAGCUGCCCAUCUCGCUUCUUGGUUCUGUAUUGUGGAACAGAGGAAUGGCCGAGCUCACUCAGAUUUUGAGUUUCUUCAGAUCUCCAGAGAAAUGGGUUGCACUUGCGUCAAAUCGACGGCUUCUCAUGAAAUGGGUUUGGUGCUAAAAUUGUACACCUACUGUUGUGCUUCAAUGAUUAUGCUUUAAUAUAUUGAUUCGUCAAUAAUGGCUUUAAAAUGGCAAUAUUCUCAAAUAAAACUGUUUUAUUUCA